rnacentral:rRNA from 1 species
GAUGAACGCUGGCGGCGUGCCUAAUACAUGCAAGUCGAGCGAACAGACGAGGAGCUUGCUCCUCUGACGUUAGCGGCGGACGGGUGAGUAACACGUGGAUAACCUACCUAUAAGACUGGGAUAACUUCGGGAAACCGGAGCUAGUACCGGAUAACAUGUUGAACCGCAUGGUUCAACAGUGAAAGACGGUCUUGCUGUCACUUAUAGAUGGAUCCGCGCCGCAUUAGCUAGUUGGUAAGGUAACGGCUUACCAAGGCAACGAUGCGUAGCCGACCUGAGAGGGUGAUCGGCCACACUGGAACUGAGACACGGUCCAGACUCCUACGGGAGGCAGCAGUAGGGAAUCUUCCGCAAUGGGCGAAAGCCUGACGGAGCAACGCCGCGUGAGUGAAGAAGGUCUUCGGAUCGUAAAACUCUGUUAUUAGGGAAGAACAAAUGUGUAAGUAACUAUGCACGUCUUGACGGUACCUAAUCAGAAAGCCACGGCUAACUACGUG